rnacentral:rRNA from 1 species
GGGGAAUAUUGCACAAUGGGCGAAAGCCUGAUGCAGCGACGCCGCGUGAGGGAUGACGGCCUUCGGGUUGUAAACCUCUUUCAGCUCCGAAGAAGCGAAAGUGACGGUAGGAGCAGAAGAAGCACCGGCUAACUACGUGCCAGCAGCCGCGGUAAUACGUAGGGUGCAAGCGUUGUCCGGAAUUAUUGGGCGUAAAGAGCUCGUAGGCGGUGUGUCGCGUCUGCUGUGAAAACUCAGGGCUCAACUCUGAGCUUGCAGUGGGUACGGGCACACUAGAGUGCUGUAGGGGAGACUGGAAUUCCUGGUGUAGCGGUGAAAUGCGCAGAUAUCAGGAGGAACACCGGUGGCGAAGGCGGGUCUCUGGGCAGUUACUGACGCUGAGGAGCGAAAGCAUGGGGAGCGAAC